rnacentral:tRNA from 1 species
GCCACCAUAUGUACGGACUUUUAAUCCGCAGGUCCCAGGUUCGAGCCCUGGUGGGGGCA